ensembl:lncRNA
GCUUGCUGGGUUUCUCCCUGGUGCUUUGAUCUCGUUGCGACUAUGACGGACCUUGAGCGCUCCGAUUUUCCCUUCAGACGUGUGGUGGAGCGUUUCGAGGCCAGCAUACCCUCCACAGCGAGACUGUGUCUCAAAACUAAAAUGCUCAGCUCUGUUCGGUGUCGCUGUGCUACCUAAUGCAUCAGCUUUUUAAGGUUGAAUAGAGCUGAAAUUAAAUGCCACCUUUUCAAAAGUGGUUAAAAAACAGACUGGUCAAAUUCAAAGCUUUUCUGAUAUAUAAAACUUUGCAAAUGGAGGGGGCUGGAGAGAUGGCUCCUUGGUUAAGAGUUCUGACUGUUUGCUCUUCCAGAGGACCCAGGUUCAAUUUCCAGCACCCACAUGGCAGCUCACAACUGUCUGUACCUCCAGUUCCAUGGGAUCUGACACCCUCACACAGACUGAUAUGUAAGCAAAACACAAAUUCACAUAAAAUGAAAAAAAAUAAGAAUAAGAAACUUUACAAAUGGAACUAAUCCAUCAAUAGGCAACUAGGCAGGCAGUAUGUAAUUUCUGUGUGGGUCUCUUUAGUAAAUAUCUUCGUGUAUACCAAUGAAUGAGAAAUCUUUUUUUAAAAAAAAAAGAUUUAUUUAUUAUGUAUACAGUGUUCUGCCUGCAUGUAUCCCUGCAGUCCAGAAGAGGGCACCAGACUACAUUACAGAUGGUUGGGAGCCACCAUGUGGUUGCUGGGAAUUGAACUCAGGACCUCUGGAAGAACAGGCAGUGUCAUCUCUCCAGACCUACCAAUGAGAAAUCUUAUUCCAACAAAGUGUGGCCCUCCUGUAACAUGUUCAGUUGAAGGCUCUGACCUUCCAGGACAGAGGACGGCCAUUUCUUAGUUCAAGGCCAAUGAAAAGGGCAGUUUGGUCCAAAGGACGGAGUUAUGAUUGGGAAGACGGAGCUGAGGAAUGCGCGGUCCAUUUAAAGCCUGGAAGGAGCCGCUGGUGACCUGUUUACGCGUUCUCCAUUCUCGGUCUUCUCUUGUGGUUACUGCACGGACUCUGCUUGAUAACAAACUGUAAAGUAAUCCUUUGACUCCCUUUAUCAUCUGGCGCCCAUCUGAACCGGCUGCUUGCGCCCAGCCUCCUGCCCCAUGGCGGUGGUGAGGCUGUCCGCCGGCGCACACACGCCCCCGAGGCCGCCCCAGCGCUUUCCGAGCACCAGCCCCUCGGCUCCGGAGCUCCGGCCCGGCACCCCGGAGCUUCCCGCCCCUUCCCCAGCGCUCCUCGGUCACGCACGGUUCUGCAACGUCCUAGGGGCGGGAAAAGUCCGGAUCGCGUUCACGAGAGCUCUGGCAGGAGGAAGGUAGCGCUCGCGGCUGAACUCCCUCCCCAUCGCGCCGGAGGCAUUCCGUGGUCGCAUCAGCCCCAGCCCGGAGGUCGCGCGCGUGGCCCCACCCGGCUCACAGCGGCUUGUGGCGCCCGCGUUCCAUAGUCUCGGAGCUGCCUUCCGCCUGGGUCUUCCUCGCCUUUGUUGGAGCAGCCACACACCACUCCUGAUCCCCCAGGCAGCCCUGGCACGUGCGGAGCAGUGACCCCAGCCGCUUAUAUCCCGCCCCACUCGGAGCUUCCUACAGGCUCGGCUCCGGCUAGGUUUAGCAGCCGGCCCACCCGGCACUCAGCCUGAGGCUCUCUGGCUAACACAACGUUGUUGAUUGUAGUUUCAAUUCUGGUUAGAAAUACAGGUCUGUUAAAUUCGGGGACCCCCAAAGCCUUGGCGCCACACCUACGACAUCUGCUGGCCAAACAUCGUUAUAACAGCCUAAAAUCUUGUGCCUGCUGGUCGAUCGAGAUUAUCACACACCUACGACGAUCUUCCGUGGAUUUUAACGGAUGUAACUUUAUUUGGUAACUUUACAUUUUAGCCAGAUUAAUAAAUAAUUUUUAAAAAUUUCCACGCCAAUGGCGGGCAACAUCACUUUGCACGAAAGUAGAGGUCUGCUCUAUUUCUGCUUUUGAUAGAAUGCUAAGAAAGAUAAGCAACCCAGCUUUGAUGGGUACAUUUUUAGUUAUAAUUGUUAUUAGUCUGGUAAUUCAUAUCCUAUCCUUUAGAAGGAGGUUUGAUAACGGUGCUAAAAAUGAGAAUCUGACUAAGAUGGUCCUGACUUUGCAAUAUGGCAAUGAGAAAUUGGCUGAUAAACUACAGGCAAUUGAAAAAGGUUAUGACAAAUUAUUAGAAACAGUUCUGAAUUUAGAAAGUCGUUUGCAUACCGAACAGAUAAUCAAUAAGGAAGACAAGGCAGACUUGAGAGACAAGUUAAAAACUUUAGAGAUAUACAUGAAUGAGGAAAACAAGAAACGUAGUGAUUUAAUGAAGGCUUUGUAAGCAGUCACUAUUAAAAAGUUCAGACAUUACAAGAAGCAACCACUAAUAGAUUCCAAGCCUUAGAAGAACUUACUAAGACUGAUAAAAAAGGAAGUUCACACACACAAAGAAGUCGUAGUAAAGAAGUUAACCACAAUGGUACCUCUUAGAGUUAGCUUAGAUUCUAGUUGGUAUUAAUAAAAACCCAGAGAUAGAUACUGGGGUUAAAACUGAAGAUCAGAGAAGCAAAGCAGCCAGCCACUAGCUCUUACCACUACCUCAGACUGAAAGAAAGAUCCUAUCUCCAAAGCUCAGACUGCUCUGAGCUCCUGGCUCCUCUCACUUUAUAUUCCUCUCUAGUGCUGGGAUUAAACAUAUGGGAUCCCAAAUGCUAAAUUCACCUUUGUGUGAGCUCUGUUUCUCUUUUAGACUGGACCAAUUUCUUGUAGCCCAGGGUGGCCUUAAACUAACAGACCCCAUCUGCUUCUGUCUCCCAAGUGUUGGGAUUAAAGGUGUGUACCACCACUACUUGGUCUCUGGCUAACUAGUGUGGCUAGCUUUGCACUCUGAUCUUCAGGCAAGCUUGUUAGAUAAUCAACAAAAUAUCACCACAGUUAACUGUUUAUGAAAGGCCAGAAAAAUAACAAUUGCCCCAAAGGAUAUGCAGACUGCCAAUGGGAACCUAUACACAUAUAAAAUUUAAAAGAUGUUAGGUUUCUUUUUGUUAUUGUUUUUGUUUUUUGAGGCAGGGUUUCUCUGUGGCUUUGGAGGCUGUCCUGAAACUAGCUUUUGUAAAGCAGGCUGGUCUCGAACUCACAGAGAUCCGCCUGCCUCUGCCUCCUAAGUGCUAGGACUAAAGGCGUGCCCCACCAAUGCUUGGCAAGAAGAUAUUAGGUUUCUUACGGUGUGCAUUCUGCAUGUGUGAGGCAGUUAUUUGUUAAAUAAAUUGUCUUUUAGCAAUAGGAUCACUACAUAUUGUUGUGCCCAAAUUCUGAACACCCAAAUCACCAAGAGGCCCAUUUCGAUGAAAAAGCAAUGUGUCUUUUAUUGAAGUUGUUUAAUGAGCUAAACCCAUUAGCUCAGGCCUUUCAUCCAUCCACCAUGGCAGAUGGCUUGGGAAAGACCCCGAGAAACCACAGGACAGAGAUCUUAUAAGGCAGCAUAAGGGGAGUGUCUAGGGGUACACACAGGCUCAGGAUUGGUGUGCCUCCAGGUUUGGAGGGCUUGCCCUGAGUUGAUUGGCCAACUGGUUGUUAUGGCCCAUAGGCCCUCCCAGGGUGGUUGUUAUGCUCUGCACAUCAUUGCUGUGCACUUAUCCCUAAAGCACACCCAGAGCCGUAAAGCAUAGCACCACCAGCUAACUUCUGAUUGGUUCCUGGCCACAAAGCAAGCAUCUGACCUCCUAGUGACCAAGCAAGCACAUGUUAGGCUGUUAAGGCCUCCAAAUCGGGGAGCUAGUCUCUUCAAUAUGACUGGAAUCAAUUAAUCUCAGCAGACUGGGAAGUGGUGGUACAUGCCUUUGAGCUCAGCGCUUGGGAGGCAGAGGCAGGCAGAUCUCUGUGAGUUCAAGGCCAGCCUGGUCUCCAUAGCAAAUGCUAGGAUAGGCUGCAAAGCUACACAGAGAAACCCUGUCUCGAAAAACCAAAAAAAAAAAAAAAAAAAAAAAAGAACUCCCAAUCCUGAGCUUGGGGUGCGACUCUUUAACUCCUGCGGGAGCUUGAGUUCUGGCCCCAGUGCGCUAAUAGCUGAAUAAAGCCUCUUGCUGUUUGCAUCAAGCAUUCACCUCUGCCUGGUGAUUGGGGUCGCCGAGGUCCUGGACUGAAAUCCUGGGGGCCUGAGCCACCGGGGUCUUUCAGUCCCUAUGCCAUACAGCAGCCUUAAAUGCUUGGGACAGGGUUCAAUUUUUUUUUUUGCCUGUAUACUUUAAUGGUGUGUUGACCUUGGAAUGGAAAUCAGCAUAUUUAUUAUGCUGGGGAAGGCGUUUUUGCUUUUGUUUCCACAGGAAAAGAAAAGCUAUGCAUACUUCAAAAUUAAUAAACAUUCAAUUUGACUAAGAAAGACCUCUAGAUUAGGAGAGCUGAUAAUUCAUCUACGUCUCGAUUCAACCUGUUGAAAAACUUACGAAAUUAGGGUUGGGGCAGGGUUUUGUUUUGUCUUUCCAGGAAAAAAAAAAAAAUCCCUCUUCAGAAAUUUAAAGACUUAGACAAAUAAGUAUCUAAAAAAGGGAGAACUAUCCAGAAAAUACCAAGAAAAGGAAUAAUCUGGCCGAGUGGUGUACUUUCAACAGGGUAAAAUUUCAUAUGCCUUUAGAAAUGUUUGGUUUUGCUGGUCUCUACAGUCAUGUUAUCAGGUGGUCUUUAUGUAGUUGUAACUCAAUUAAAAACUAAAGCUGGCUUUAGAGUUAGGGUGUGGCUCUCUCCUCUAAAUCCAAGCAAGUUGUUAAAAGAAAAAUUCAGAGUUUCAGGCUGGAGAGAUAGCUCAGAAGUUAAGAGAACUGACUGCCCUUCCAGGGGGCCUGAGUUCAAUUCCCAGCAGCCACAUGGUGGCUCACAACCAUCUACAGUUCAGUCUGGUGGCCUCUUCUGGCACGUAGGCAGAACUCUGUAUACGUGAUAAAUAAAUAAAUCUUUAAAAAGAAAAAAACAGAGUUUCUGUCUCAUCAGAAGAGCCACCAGGUGUGGGACAGAAGAAAACCAUAAAAUCUAGGGACUAUUGUCUCCCCAAAAUUCUAUGUCUUCCUAUACUUAUUUUUACUCUUUAGAUAUAGUGCUAUCUUAAAAUUUAAUCUCUCUGUUUUGAUAAUAAAUUGUAAGAGUGAUCUCUUGAAGUCUCCAGAAGGAAGAUAGGGCCCCACAACUAUUCUACCUGGUUCAUAAACACCACUUAAAAUAUUAGCUUGGGAUUACACACUGCUCAAGGUGGCUAGCUGAGAUUCUCCACCUUCUUACAAUACUCUAGCCAGAAACUUCAGAUAAGAACUUCGAAGACUGGCUAUAAAUGAUACACUUAGUACUCAUGAGACUUAACCAUUGCCUUAGUAUUUUACAGGAUCCCAUAGAAAUAUCGUCGUCCCCUGGACAGCAGGAAGCAAUUAUAAGAAUUCGACGUCGCCUCUCCCAAUAGGUGGGAUGGGUGGGUUUUUGGUUUUUCUCAAGGUGGUGGAUAAUUGUCAUCUGUAAGGAUUGGUUGCAAGUUGUUUAGGGCUGGGUGUGGGGCAAUAAAGGAGAAAAAAGAGGGAUAGACAGGCUAGGACAAUAAGGUAGAUUAUUGUAUCUACUUGCAACUUAAAAUAGCAACUAUCAGUUUUAGACAAUUUGCAAUGGUGUGAAAUCUUGUAUAUUGAUACAAAUGUAAAAUUAUUUUCCUAUUCCUGUUUAUGAUAAUUCAGAAUUGUAUUUGUAAUAUAUGUUCCUACUUCUGCUUACAAUAUUUGUAUAUUGUCACAAACAUAAAAUUAUUGUCAUAUUGUAUGUUUCUACUUCUGUUCAAGAUAUUUUAUAUGUUGAUGCAAAUUAAGAAUUUGUUUUGUCAUAUUGCACCAUACAUUUCUAACUCUAAUUAAGAUUUUUUUUAAUAUUGUCACUGUUUCAAGGUCAUUGUCUUAAGUGUACAUCUGUUUAUGGAUUGUUUAUUUUUAUAAUGUGAAGCUUUAGUCUAUAAGUCAAUAGGUUAUUAAGAAUUACAGGUUAAGCCGGGUGUUGGUGGUGCACACCUUUACUCCCAGCACUCGGGAGGCAGAGGCAGGUGGAUCUUUGUGAGUUUGAGGCCAGGUUAAUAGUCACAUGUUUGUUAUAAUUAUAGUUAGUAGUAGGUUCUCAAGAUACAUAAAGAUGUAUUCCAUAUAGAUAGGUAAUCUUCAAACACUUCAAAGACCUACAGAAUAUGGCAUUCAAAUGUUUUAAUAACUUAGAAUUCUGAGACACAACUGCUCCUGGCAGCACUGAUCCACUCCCGAGAGAAUGGUGGGCACAGAAGACACUCCAUGUGGAGCUUGUUUUCUUUUUUGGCAAAACUGACCUAUUGGGCAAAGAACUGCCCUUGCCAUAAAUGCUGACAGUAAGCAUCACUGUUCAAUCUGGACAAGCAGGAUACAAAGAAAAGUGACUGCUAAACCUUUCCAGGACAGGGUCUUUCAAAUUUUUCCUGCUUCUGAAAAAUGGUCUGUCAGAUAUUCUAGAUCUAUAGCCAAAGUUGGAUGCCCCAACAUUACAUAGAAACUUUGGGUGACUGUCCAGGCAGCCAGCUGUUUCUGUUAUUUCUUGCUUCUUUUGGAAGUCGCUUGCUUGCACUUUCUGCUUACUCAGGUAAUAUUUUCCUUCUCAGGUCUUUGAUGGGGUUGAAGAUUAGAUAGUUAUGUAUCUUAGCUAGGGCAUAUUAGGUACAAGAUUUAGACUUUCCAUGAUAGGACAGCUAUUGGAGAAAUCUUUAAUUUGCCAUUUACCCAUGGCCUAGACAUUUAGUGUGUGUUUUUUUCUUGAUGUUCUUGUUGGCUGUAGUUUCAUUUUUGUUUAUGCUAUUACCUGUUCUCCCUCACAAUACUUGAUACUUGUUCUUAUUGUAAAUAGUUUUAUGUUAGGAUUAGAAGAACUUGUUUAGAAAGAAAGGGAAAGUAUUGGGAUUUCCAUCAGUUUAGCCAAUGACUUUUUGGGGCCACAAGCUCUCCGAACUUUCUUGGAGUGAAAGGUGGCUUGCUGUUGGUGCUCUUUAUUUACUCCUGGGCAGACUGGACGAAAGCAGCUCAUCAGUGGUGACAUUUAACUGGUUCUGUAUCAUGUGUUUAUCCUAUCCUACACAUAAAUAAAUUCCUGAGGCUCUUAGCAGACUUGUUCCAGUUCCGUGUUCUUCCUGGUUGUGAAUAUGAAUGGGUUUGCUAGGGAUUAUAUGCUGCCACUUUUUAAUAUUCAAUGAUGUGACUGUAUACACUCUAAACUUACAUGAACAUGCCUUGCCCUUGUAAGUGUAUACAGCUUGAACUCAAGUGAACUUUGCUUAUAUGACCUUGUUUAACCCUCCGUAUGUAAACUGCCUGAUGCUCUGAAUAAAUUUGGCUAUUUCAUGAGACUUUAGUCUGCCUCAUUUUUAGGCUCUACUCUCCCAGGUUCACCCACCAACUAAGGCAGUAACAGGAAGCUAAGCAAGAGGACUGCUGAGAGUUCCAAGCCAUUAUUGGAU